UCUACUCCCCACCUCCGCCUUUCCCCAUCUCUACCCUCUUGGUCAUAAACUGGCCCAAGGGGAUGAAGAAUGAGGAAACCCAGGGUGUCACCACAUACCAAGGCCGCCUUAGCUCCACAAUGUCCGCAGAAUGCCCUCGCAACACCCCUGUUUGAGAAACACCGGGAUUAAGAAAUGGGAGUCAAAGAGAGGCAAGCUGGGCACACAGAGGAGAGGCGACAGCGUCAAGAAAGAUUGCAGGAUGGAAGCCUCUUUGCUAAAGCCCCGUGGAUAUCUGGAGCAACUGUGUUACUUACUAUUAGCAAGUCACUUAGCCUCUCUGGGCCUCGGUUUCUCCAUCCAUAAAUUGAGCAGGUUGGACUGGA